GACACUUACUAGCUAUGUGACCCUUGGCAAGUCACUUAACCCCAAUUGCCUAAAAAAAAAAAAGUUAAAUCUGCAUAAUUAACAUUUUCUUCCAUCACUUUAUGAAAUCCUGACAUUCAAUAAAACAACUAACCAAGCCUCUAUUUGUAGCUUUGCUGAUUUCUGAGAUGGAAAUGCUCGCACUGGCAAUUUCACAAUCGUCUUUCUCUGGUUCCUAGGUGGCUCCAGCAUACUUAGCUGGUAAUCAGGGUUUUUGUCAUGGAUGAAGAAGGAACAACAGCAUUGCUGUAACCAUACUCAUAACUGAGGAUAUAUGUCACAUCUACACAAGCCCUUUGGACCUGGGACCUCAAGGCAUGAUGGGAGGAGAACCUUGGUUGUGAUGUACUCUAAAAACCAUGAUGAAGAAACCAAAAUCAUGUUGGAACAGGGGAGGUAAAAAAGCCAUUCUCAUCAUCUAGUCUGUUGUAGAAGUUGUCUCAAGUAUAUUUUCCGUGAUCCCACAGAAGAUGAACUUACCAUCUCAAGAUUUUUAUUCAACUACAAAAAGCAAUCAUUUUAUCCACCUACAAUGGUCUGUCAAAAACCACACAUAAAACAACAACAGUAAGAGGGUGACAUAUUCCUGGGCCAUUUCUGUCUUUACUUCCAUGGAAUAUAAUAAAAUAAUAAUUAAUAAUAAUAGCCA
rnacentral:lncRNA from 1 species